ensembl:lncRNA
UUUUAAGGAUCUGCAGGAGCUCCAGUCUUCGCCAGAUUAUCUCGCUUACUGAGUGUCUAGCUCCUGUUGCCAGAAUCUGCUACAUGUACGCCCCGCCUCCCUGCCUGCCUGCCUGCCUGCCUGCCUCCCUCCCUCCCUCCCCUCCCCUCCCUGCACUGCCUGCACUGCCCCGCUGCAGACUCAAAGCCUCAUCAUACAGCUAGCACUCUCCUAUCUGGACUCUUCUCUAAUGCGCAAGGAUUUGAGGGACCGGUGAGUGCUGACCCUUCUUCAAAGAGUUUAUAACAACGGCUUGUCAGAUUAUUCUCGAGCACACAGUUCAUGUUCAAACAAUGUCAUGAAAAAUCUGCGUCCCUGGGUGCUGACCCGUGUUCGACAUAGAGCACUGCUUGGUCUGGAAAAGGAGACCUGGAUGAAUCAAUAACCUUGAACCUCAAGACAGAGCUCAAUCUUUAGUCACAAGGAGCCAUAAAAGCAGGAUGGACCACUGCAAACCUGGCAAUUAACCAAUGACUCUGCAGUUAAAGCUUGAAAAACGGCAAGUUGUGCAAUAAGUGGCGACAAAUAGCGAGGUUGGUCCAAACUGGAAGCUUUAAGGUUCCUGAUGACAGGAUAAGAGAACAGAAGGAUCCCAGUGGUGAGUCACAAACUGGGGAUGGGGACACUGGCGAUCUUCUAUAUGACCUGGCAAUGAAAAAGACUCACAGAGACGACAAAAUGUCUUGAUGGUGCCAAUAACAGACAUAAAAGGUGAACUGCUCCAUACCUAGUAGCUCUACCACUCACCGAACAACAAUAACGUAACCCGUACAAGACCCAAUCUUAAUCAUUGGCUGCACCGGAGGCACGAAAGGAGGAUAAAGUCUUCUCACCUGGCAACCUCAAGUCUUAUAAUGACGUGUGUUUCCCCAGGGUGAGUCUCCGAGGUGUAAGUGUGGGCAAACUGUAGCUAAUCAAUUGGAACUUGUGGUCAUGACUUCACCGUCUGGCCUCCAGGAAACGGCACAGACCGGAGACAAACAGUCCAUCUUCACAGAGCAAAACUAAAUGUAACUUCAGUGAGCCAAUCACAAGUGGACCGCACUCUAUGCAGGACUGAUCCGAAUGGGGUGUGACCUUUUCUAUGUGUUUUGAGAGAUCAAUAUCGAUAACGAAUCGUCAUUAACAUUGCCACUAGAUUUCCUUUGAUUUAUAUUAAAUAAAUUUGACUAGCUAAUAACUACUUUUGUAAUUCAGACUUACGGUCUCAAGAAAUAAUUUGAUCAUGUAUUUUUGUUCUUCUAAUGGAAUGGUGCCUUUGGUGUCGACCAAAAUCUGUGCUUAGAACCAGAGGUUUUCAUCUGGGUCCUCAGACUUUGAAAGCAAAUAUUGAAGAUUUAUGAGUAGCAUGAGUAGCAUUCUGCAACAACGUUGGUUACCAGGGUAAAGUUUAUGUGCAGAAGAGUGCAGGGAUUUUCCCUUCACAGUGAUAUAAGGUAGUAUGGGGUUUGUUGUGUAGUUCGGGAGUAGUAAAAAGUGGGUGAAACACAUACAAUGUUACUCCCUCUUCAUAAUAUCAUAGUACAUAAAAACAGACUGAUCUCAUACACUUUUUAUAGCUAGGCCUCCCUAAAAUAAUACAGUGUAAUUUGUAUGUAUCCUACAAAAUUAAUUUAUAUGGAUUCCGAAGCUAAAGAGACACCAAAGCCAAAACAAGAGCUCAACUGAAUGUUUUACCUAGCUCUACAACCGGAUAACAUCCGUUUUGGAUAAUUCAUAGAAUCUCAGAUGAAUGACAAGGAAAAUCAAAAUUGGAAGAAUUGCCCUAGAGACCUGUCAAUCACAAGGCCCUGAAGAAUACUCUCCUUCAUGGUCUGAUUGACUCCAAUUAAACCAUAAUUAGUAAAUGGAUGGAAGAUGUCUUGGAGCUAGAAAUUGAGAGCAUAAACUCAUGUUUACUAAGGGAAUAAGUCAAGAGGUAAGUAGAGUACAUUUCUACAUUUCUUUCUCCCAUAGACUUCCAUACAAUCACAGAGAUCAUAAGUAAGAAUUAACAGUUUGAUGUGUUGCUGCAUUGGCUUCACUUAUAAUUUAAAGAGUCCAC